ACUGCGGGUCGUCUGGCUGCUUUAGUAAUGUAACAAAUAAAUAAACAAAUAAUUAAAAUUAAACAGUAAAAGACCAUUUAAUGUAAGACAAUCUUGAGUAUAAGACUAGCGUAAAUGCAGUCAGCAGUACUGGACGUAUAGAUUAGCAAUCAGCUAUAAAAUUGCCGCAAACUCCACGUUGCGUAGGUGGAGCGCGAAUCGAAUUAUUCGGCAUACGAGUUCUGAAAAAGGUAGACCGCACUCAUGAGUUAGUGGGCUAAAUCGAUAGAUAUAACAGUAAGAUAUACACUGUGUAAAGUGCAUCAAUAAGGUCUAUUCGUAUCUUAUCAAUUCGUAGAAUGGCCCAUACUUGCUCGCGUUUUUCUUAUUUUAGUGGAUGAUAGCAAGUAAAAAUUAAAAUACGGCCAUAUAAAUAUGCUGCUCAUAGUGAUUGUUUUUUCAUUGUGGUUAAGUAUGGCUAGCGACGCCAGCAAUGACGAAUUCAUGGACCCGAGUUGGGUUAAGCCGGAUCCUUGGUCCCUCAAUAAGCACGAACAAGAAAAGCUAGAGGAUUGCAAACGUCCCCCGGUACCCCUGUGUUCAUCGGUAACUCAAAUCGAGACAGUAGACAGGAAUAACGCAACGAAAUUCCUCAAAACAUUCGUUAAUCGAUUGUUCGACGAAAAAGUAAUGACACAGGAUGGUGAGAAUUCAAACAUUUUGUGGCGUGAGCUCCAGCUCAAGGUGACGCGAGAUCAACUGAAGGAGCUUAGAGAUGCAGACACAGCGCAGAAGAUUGACAACAUAGUUUCGGGAAUCUUUGAACAAUCGACAGGUAGCGUAAAGCAUGAUUUUUUGCAAAUAUGGUUGCUUGAAAUGGGAUUCCCCCGAGGAAUGAUCCAAUACCUAGAAUGGAAAUCCAUUCAGUCAUUUUUUAUCGCCAUUUUUGGCGCUCUGUUCAAAGAAGUGUGCGCAUAUUGUAAAAAAAAGUUUUGGUCAAAAGAAGAGCAAGCAAAAAAGGAAGUAAAGAUAGUUGUUAAUAAUUUUAUUAAAUGACAUCUUACAUUUUCAAGAAAAUG